CUUGCACAGGUGGGGUCCCUCGGCCUGGCCUGUGCCCUCUAGCAAUCCAGACCCCUCGGGGGAUGUCGAACUGCCUGUUUUGACCUGAUCCCCCCAGGCCAGGCCGAGGGACCCCACCAGUGCAUG
rfam:Myotis lucifugus cont2.44515, whole genome shotgun sequence.